rnacentral:rRNA from 1 species
AUGGCUCAGUGAGGCCUUGGGACUGGCUCAGAGAGGUCGGCAACGACCACUCAGAGCCGGAAACUUGGUCAAACUUGGUCAUUUAGAGGAAGUAAAAGUCGUAACAAGGUUUCCGUAGGUGAACCUGCGGAAGGAUCAUUACCGAGUUAGGGUCUCUCCCGGCCCGACCUCCCAACCCUAUGUUUACUGAACCUUCGUUGCUUCGGCGGACCCGCCUCUAGGCCGCCGGAGGACCGCCUCACGGCGUCCUCUGGCCCGCGUCCGUCGACGGCCAACCUCAAAACGCUGAAAUAACCGUGUUGUGUGUCUCAGUCCCAUGAUUAAAUUAAAGCAAAAACUUUCAACAACGGAUCUCUUGGUUCUGGCAUCGAUGAAGAACGCAGCGAAAUGCGAUAAGUAAUGCGAAUUGCAGAAUUCCAGUGAGUCAUCGAAUCUUUGAACGCACAUUGCGCCCUUUGGCAUUCCGAAGGGCAUGCCUGUUCGAGCGUCAUUAUCACCCCUCGGGCCCUGUGCUCGAUGUUGGACGGCUGGUUGGGCAACCGACCCCUCCUAAAGAAAAUGACGGCGGCCUGUGGCGCCCCCGGUACACUGAGCUUUUCACGGAGCACGUACCGGACGAGGGCGCCCGGGACCCGGUCCUCUCCUCUCAGUAGGAAACUUUUCAAGGUUGACCUCGGAUCAGGUAGGAAUACGCGCUGAACUUAAGCAUAUCAAUAAGCGCAGGAAAAGAAACCAACAGGGAUUACCUCAGUAACGGCGAGUGAAGCGGUAACAGCUCAAAUUUGAAAUCUGGCCUCUCGGGGUCCGAGUUGUAAUUUGUAGAGGAUGUUUUGGGUACCGCCCCGGUCUAAAUUUCUUGGAACAGAAUGUCAUAGAGGGUGAGAAUCCCGUCUUGGACCGGCGGUAGGGCCUGUGUAAAACUCCUUCGACGAGUCGAGUUGUUUGGGAAUGCAGCUCAAAAUGGGUGGUAAAUUUCAUCUAAAGCUAAAUAUUGGCCAGAGACCGAUAGCGCACAAGUAGAGUGAUCGAAAGAUGAAAAGCACUUUGAAAAGAGAGUUAAACAGUAUGUGAAAUUGUUGAAAGGGAAGCGCUUGCAACCAGACUUGAGCGCGGCGGUUCCCCCAGCCUUUUGGCCGGGCUACUCCGCCGUGUCCAGGCCAACAUCGGUUCUGAGGGUCGGUUAAAGGCCCCGGGAAUGUAUCUACCCACGGGUAGACUUAUAGACCGGGGUGCCAUGCGGCCUCUCGGGACCGAGGAACGCGCUUCGGCUCGGAUGUUGGCGUAAUGGUUGUCAGCGACCCGUCUUGAAACACGGACCAAGGAGUCUAACAUCUAUGCGAGUGUUUGGGUGUCAAACCCGGAACGCGGAAUGAAAGUGAACGGAGGUAGGAAGCUUCGGCUGCACUAUCGACCGAUCCUGAAGUUUACGGAAGGAUUUGAGUAAGAGCAUAGCUGUUGGGACCCGAAAGAUGGUGAACUAUGCCUGAAUAGGGUGAAGCCAGAGGAAACUCUGGUGGAGGCUCGCAGCGGUUCUGACGUGCAAAUCGAUCGUCAAAUUUGGGUAUAGGGGCGAAAGACUAAUCGAACCAUCAGAGACACACUGCGUUAUCAAAGGUGGAAGAACUUGAAAAGAUCCCUCAAAAUACGAGUAGGCGCGCCAGUUGAUGGGUCAUGGCUGACGCGUUUCAGAGGUGCCAGGGUCCGAGCUUAGUGGUUUUCCGGGGCGUUAUCGUCCAGGAGCACCCUUGCGUUCACGCGCAGGGUGGAACGCUUGAGGAACGACUCCUCAAUUCCUGCGUGGGGAAUGUGCAAAUGCACACCCUGACCGAUGCGUCCGCGGGGGCCAUCGCGUCAAUACUUGCCAUGUAGGCUUUAUGGGAGAAAGGGAAUCCCGCUCGUAUUUUAUGACCCGACCCGGGGACAACAAUAUCCUUAUUUAAGGAGCAUCUUUAUCAACGUAUUCUUACCGUAGUAGUUACCGGUGGUUGAGUGUAACCAUGAAAGUGGUUGCAAGUGCCUAGUUCUGGCGCGACACUAUCAAAUUGCGGGGACUCCCUAAAGCUUUAACGACCGCCCCGCCUAUGAAAAUAUGGCGCGGGCACCGGGUUAAUGACCCCGGGUAUGGUAAAACUGUUAAAGAUGCGACAAUGGGUAAUCUGCAGCCAAGUCCUAAGGGCCCAUUGGCCUAUGGACACAGUUCACAGACUAAAUGGUAGUGGGCUCUUCGUGGGCUUAAGAUAUAGUCGGUCCCCCAGGGAAACCUGGGCACACUCGCUAAAUCUGGGGGGAAGACUCUGCCUCGGGCAGUUCCUCCAGACCUGAACGGUGUGGGCGCCCUUCGGG